GCUUUCCUGGCCUCAGUUGGUAGAGCAUUGCGCUGACAACGCAAAGAUUGUGGGUUCAAAUCCCAGGGAAAGCA
rnacentral:tRNA from 1 species